CUGCAUAGCAACAUAUGGUGAAAAUGGACUUUUUACAGUAAUACUGAAUAGAAAUACCUAGAAUAGUCUCUCUCCUUAUAGUCCUCGUAAAACCUAUGUUAUAAACCUUAAAGACAGCACAAAUAGUACCCUUCCUGUGAGGCAGGCCCUGGAAAAACUGUAUGUUUUCUCCUUUUCACUUUGAGGAUAUUACGGCAUUUACUACACUAUGAGUCAUCAUCAGCUUCCCUGCUAGACUGCGCACUUCGUAAGAACUGUAUCUUAUUAUUCGUGGCAUCCCCAGCACUGUACCUGACACACAAGAGGGACUCGAUCACACAGUCACUCUUCAUCACAGCUGGAGAAUCUGAAUUUACGAGUAUCUUGCAUCAAAACGCUGCCUCAGAGAGAACAGAAAGUGAAAAUACAGAUUCCUGAAAUCAUACAAUAAGAGUAAAUGGGGCAUAGGAUUGGACAGUUAAGAAGAUGGGUGCACCAAGCAAGUGGUAUGCAGUAAUUAAGCAAAGAAGCACAGAGAUCAGGUGUCCAACCCACUCAGACACGUGGAUUACGGCUGGAGGUGGGGCAGAGUAAGACGAAAUAUCGAUGCUCCUUCUGCUUUUACAAAGUGCCAACUUCAAAGACUUUCUUUAUAUUUACUAACCGAAUUCCUCAAAAUAUA